AACGUAGGAGGCUAGCGUUAUCCGGAUUUAUUGGGCGUAAAGCGCGUGCAGGCGGUUUAUCAAGUUGGAUGUGAAAGCUCCCGGCUUAACUGGGAGAGGUCGUUCAAAACUGAUAGACUAGAGAAUGGUAGAGGGAGGUGGAAUUCCGGGUGUAGUGGUGAAAUGCGUAGAUAUCCGGAGGAACACCAGUGGCGAAAGCGGCCUCCUGGGCCAUUUCUGACGCUAAGACGCGAAAGCUAGGGUAGCAAAC
rnacentral:rRNA from 1 species